UCAAGAUUUGCUUUGCAGUCAGAACAAGAGUUCGGAUAUAGUCAUACUACUGGCGGUCUCACAAUUCCCUGCAACAAAGAUAUCUUUCUCGAUGUCACCUCUCGAUUAAACUGAUUUGUGAGAGAUUUAACACAAAUCAACCCAUACAUUUUUGUAAAGCAAGCAUCACUAACACUAUGUAAAUACCUUUUUUCCCAUCCUUUUUUGCCUUGUUACUGUAACUUCUACCAAUCAGUAUAAAAAAUGACAGUUGAAAACACAUUGUUCAUUUCAAAUUUUAUUUCUUUUCAGAGUUUCUCCUGUUAUUGUUAGUUUCAUCUUUAUUUUAACUGUAAAUGAUCUACAGUGUUGAAAAUUUACUUCAACCAACAAGCUAAGUUAUAUAGACUCUUCAUUUUUCUUAAAGCAUCUGUUCUAACUUCUAACACCUAUAUCCAACACAUAUUUGGCUGUAAGUAUGAGAGUAUGAUCCUCCAAAUAUAUAAAAGAUUUUAACCUUGAAGAAAAGUGUCUUAUCCCCAAUUUUUAGUUGUGUUUCAACAACAAAGAAAGAUAAAAUCUUGCUGUUUUUUAUAUUCAUUAUCUUAGUCAAGUCAACAUAGAAUGUCAAGGUAGUCCAUAAUAUAUGCUUCCUUCUGGUCAUUGUAUAACACAUUACAUGUCUCAAGCUUGCCUCUAACAUCAAGAUAAAAUCAUUUGUAGUUGGACUCUUCAUUUUCUUCAAAAUACAAGUGUCCGGCACAUAUUCAAACAUGAAUAUAAAGUAUAUAAUCCUCCAAAUAUAAGAAAAAAAACUUAGAAAAUUCGAGAACACCCGUAUUCAAUACUCAAGCUCAGGUCCUGGUAACAUAGACUACAAGUAUUCUUUUGCAUUUUAGUAAGGUUUUUAAAUGAUAAAUUUUCUUUCAUAAAUCUCAAAGUAAUUUUCUUAAUGCAGAUUUGACAAAGAAUUAAUACCUAUGUCUCACUGUUCUUCAAAAGCCAGAAAUCAAUUUUUAACUAUAUAGACAAAGUGACUUGAACUUAUAUAUGUAGAUAACUCAAAAAUUAAGAAAUGUGGAUUAAAAACAGAUUCAUCUGUAAGGUUAUUCAUAUAUAUAUAUAGCAGCGCAUACCAGAAAAUUUUGGUUAGUUGUCAACGCUUAAUAUUGUCAUGGAACAAUUUGAUUGCAGCAUGGCAUAGACAACAACCAGGAUAAAAUGCAACCGGUUGGGGUUCCAGUGAGGACUAGUUGUAGCAUGUACACACACUUAAGGCGUUCUUCAGAGUGGCUUGUCUUACAAGUUACUCACCAAAGGAAGACAUGAGUGUAAUAGGAGAGGUCAAUGUCACCCAUGUUAUAUGUUUCCUGUCAUUGUCUGACAGAUUAAAUGUCUCAAAUGUAGCCUGAAAUAAACGGCAAAGUAGUCGGUCCUUAGUCGGUUAUCCUUUCAAGUCUUAGCCAUGGAAUUCUUUAUCAUCCUUUGGAAGACAACACCAUGUGAUUCCCCAUGAACCCAUGUCUUUCUCAUUACCGAUCAGACCCCAUCAAUUGCACCUUCACCACUCAUUCCAUAUCCCCCCCUUAACAAAAUAUGAACAUUAUUUCCUCUCUGCCCCUUACAUCUAUAUAUAAAAGUAAGAUUAAGUUCAUUGCCAACACCUACCUUCAACAUUCUCAAGCUUGCUUUCUAAGUUAUCUGAGAUCCUCCACUUCUUCCUUUUUCAAAGCAUACAUCUAUUGUAAACAAAAAUGGCUAUCCGCUCGCCUCGUAUCAUAAGCUCUAAGAAAGUUCCCAAGGGCUACUUUGCAGUUUAUGUUGGAGAAAACCAGAAGAGGUUUGUGAUACCAGUGUCGUUCUUGAGCCAGCCUUUAUUUCAAGAUUUGCUAGGCAAGUCAGAAGAAGAGUUCGGAUAUAGUCAUCCUACCGGCGGCCUCACAAUUCCCUGCGAUGAAGAUAUUUUUCUUGAUGUUACCUCUCGCUUGAAUCAAUUGUGAGAGAAUCAACACAAAUCUGCCUAUACAAUUUUGUAAAGCAAAAAUGUCUAACACCAUGUAAACAUUUUUUCUCCAUCUUUUUUGCCUUGGGGAGCAAAUACAAGUCUCCCUGAGUGAAAAAUUACAGAUGGUUGUUACUGUAACUUCUAUCAAUCAGCAUGGAAAAUGACAGUUCAAAACACAUCAUUCAAUUGGAAUUUUAUUUACUUCCAGAAUUUCCUAUCAUUAAUUUAACUAUAAAUGAUCUACCUUGUUCUAAAUUUACUUUAAUAUACAUGCUAAGUUAUUCGGACUCUUCGUUUGCUUUAGAAUACAUGCAUCCAACACAUAAUCAAACAUGAGUACAAAAUAGCAUGAUUCUCCAAGUAUAUGAAAAAACUUAUAUCCCCUUAUUGCAAUCUUUUAGCCAAAGAGUUAAUAGCUUUGUUUCUUUUUCAAGUAGGAAUUAGUCUUUAUAUAUAAUAAUUAACAGUACAUGACUUAGUAAAAUUUUUUUUGAAGGUAAAACAUAUAAAAUGACUUUUUUUUAUUAGACAUAAAAUACAUAUAAAAAACCAUACAAAAUUGCUUAAAUGUAAAGAUGUAAAUGAAAGAGGAUAACCUUUGUGACAAAAAAGAAAACUAAAAUGAAGUUAUUUAAAUGAAAUAGGGACUUGAACAUAACUGUGAAAAAUAUAACAUGACCUAAAAUGAAAUUAACCCAAUAUCAAACUUUGAAUAUUAACUCAGAUUUUAAUGGCCUUCUUUUCUUUUCUUUCUUUCUUUCAUGGUUUUUUUUUUUUACCAAGUCAUGUACAAAUAAUGAAUAGUCAAAAUAUGCAGACAACACUCAACAAACAUGCCAUCAAACAAGUUGACCAAAACCAGAUUCAUCUGUAAGGUUAUCCAAAUAUAUAUAUAUAUAGCAGCACAUACCAGAAAUUUUGUGAGCUGUCAAGCUAAGUUUUGGCUUCACCCCUAUGGAACUGUUUGAUUGCAGCACGGCAUAGACAAGAACAAGGAUAAAAUGCAACCAAUUGGGUUCUGGUGAGGACUAGUUGCAGCCUGUAGGACACACUUCAGGUGCUCUUUACAAGGGUUUGUCUUACAGAUCUACACCUUACUAAAAAUCAACAUGCUUGGUGAAGUCAGAAUGUAAGAGGAGGUCAAGGUCACCCAUGUUACAUGCUUCCUGUCAUUGCCUGACAGAUUAUAUGUCUCUAAAGUAGGCACUGACAUAAAUGGUGAAGUGGUACAACUCUUUUAUUGUGAAGAAGCAUUUUACUGGUCCAGAUCUUCCAUAUUUGAGUGGGGUCCUUGGUCGGUUUCUAUUGCCAGAAGGGGUAGGCAAAGUAUUUUUUCAAAGUAUUUUGCCAUGGAAUUCUUGAUAAUGAGUUACACGACAACACCAUGUGAUCCCCUCUAAUGAAGCCAUGUAGAACAUGAUUUCUCUCUACCCCUUUCAUCUAUAUAUACAAAGUAGAAUAUGUUCAUUUGCAACACUAAUCUUCACAUCCUCAAAUACUAAAGUACUUUACCUUUGCUUUCCUUUUUCAAAGCAUACAUCUAUCUAAAACAACAAUGGCUAUUCGCUUGCCUCGUAUCGUUAGCUCUAAGAAAGUUCCCAAAGGCUACUUUGUGGUUUAUGUUGGAGAAAACCAGAAGAGGUUUGUGAUACCAGUGUCGUUCUUGAACCAGUCUUUGUUUCAAGAUUUGCUAGGCAUGUCACAAGAAGAGUUCGGAUAUAGUCAUCCUACAGGCGGUCUCACGAUUCCCUGCAACGAAGACACCUUUCUCGAAGUUACCUCUCGCUUGUAUUAAUUGUGAGAUGAUUAACACAAACCAGGCAAUACAAUUGUGUAAAGUAAACAUAACUAAUACCAUGUAAACACUUUUUUCCCAUCCUUUUUGCCUUAGGGAGCAAACAAUAAGUCUCCCUAAGUGGAAAAUUACAGAUGGUUGUCAAUGGAACUUGUAUCAACCAGUAUUGAGAAUGACAGUUCCAAACACAUAAUUCACUUGAAAUUUCUUUUCUUUUCACGAUCUCCUAUGGUACAAAAUUACUUCAUAGUAAUAUAUAUUUUUUCUAUAAUUUGAAAGACUUUACAUGUUUUUCUCUGUCCUAAUAAGCUGAGAUUGAUCUACAUAACAAAGUUCAUGACUGUAAUUGCUUUAUAUUAUAUAUACCAUUUGUAUAUAUAUAAGUAUGAACUUCGAAAGUAUUAAUAAUAAUGAUUUGAACUUAAUUGAUGAAGCUACCUGUUCUCCAACACAGUACAUCUAAUUUCCUUUUGACUUGACAUUCUAUCUCCCCUUAUCGGAAUCUUUUUUGCCAAAGACUUAUAUAUGAAGAGAACUCAACAACGUCAGAAAUGUGGAUCAAAAACAGAUUCAUCUGUAAGGGUAUCCAUAUAUAUACAUAGCACCGCAUACCAGAAAAUUUUAUGAGCUGUCAAGGCUUAAUAUUAUCAUGGAACAAUUUUAUUGCAGCAUGGCAUAGACAACAACCAGUAUAAAAUGCAACCGGUUGGGGUUCCAAUGAGGACUAGAUGUAGCAUGUACGACACACUACGGGUGGUCUUCGUAAUGAAUUGUCUUACAAGUUACUCACCAAUGUAAUAGAAGGUGAAGGUCUCCCAUGUUAUAUGUUUCCUGUCAUUGUCUCACAGAUUAUGUCUCUAAAAUAGCCUGAAAUAAACGGUAAAGUAGUCGGUCCUUGGUCGGUUAUUCUUUCAAGUCUUAACCAUGGAAUUCUUUAUAAUCCUUUGGAAGACAACACCAUGUGAUUCCCCACGAACCCAUGUCUUUCUCAUUACUGAUCAGACCCCAUCAAUUGCACCUUCACCACUCAUUCCAUACCCCCCACUUAAUAAUUGAUGAACAUGAUCUCCUCUCUGUCCCUUAUAUCUAUAUAUUCAAGUAAGAUUAAGUUCAUUGCCAACACCUAGCUUCAACAUUCUCAAUUUUGCUUUCCAAGUUAUCUAAGAUCUUCCUACUCUUCCCUUUGAAGCACACAUCUAUCAAAAACAACAAUGGCUAUCCGCCUGCCUCAUAUCAUUAGCUCUAAGAAAGUUCCCAAAGGCUACUUUGCGGUUUAUGUUGGAGAAAAUCAGAAGAGGUUCGUGAUACCGGUAUCGUUCUUGAACCAGCCUUUGUUUCAAGAUUUGCUAGGCAUGUCACAAGAAGUGUUCGGAUAUAGUCAUCCUACAGGUGGUCUCACGAUUCCCUGCAAGGAAGACAUCUUUCUCGAUGUUACCUCUCGCUUGAACUGAUUUGUGAGAGAAUUAACACAAAUCAACCCAUACAAUUUUGUAAAGCAAAUAUCACUAACAUCAUGUAAACACUUUCUUUUCCCAUCCUUUUUUGCCUUGGGGAGCUGAUAAUAAGUCUCCCUAUGUGGAAAAUUAGAGAUGGUGGCUUCUGUAACAAUUGGAAACACAUCAUUCAAUUGAAAUUUUAUUUCUUUUUAGAAUGUCCUAUGGUCCCCUUGUUAUUGUUGAUUUCAUAUACAAUUUAACUGUAAAAAAUUCACAUUGUUCACAAAUUAUUUCAACUUCCAAGCUAUGUUAUAUAAACUAUUCAUUUUUCUUAAAAAUAGUUGUUCUAACAAGGGGUGUUCAUAGUUCGGUUAAAACCGAAUUAACCGACCAAAUCGUCUAAUUCUGUUAAUCAGUCGGUAGCCAAAUUUAGUUCGGUCGGAUGUCAGUUAAUGAUUUUUUGAAAUUUUGAUUAUCUGUUAAUUCGGUUCGAAAUCGGGUAAUUAUCUGAAUUAAUCAAUUAACAGAAAUAAAUAAUAUAUAUUAUAUAUAAUUGUUAACUUUUUUUUGGUUGUUUACUUUCAAGAUUUAUGUAAUGUUUCUAAUGUCUGUUGGAAUAUUUUCAAAUAUUUAUAGUAUCCCAAUAACUAUAAAUGAAUAGGUGUAAUUAAUCAAAAGAUAAAACUUUUGGUCAUUGGUCAAAAGUUAUAUCAUUUGAUUUUUUAAAAAAGAAUUAUAACUAUUCAAAAAAUAUUAUUUGAAUAGUUACAAAAUUAAAUGAAUAAUUAUUAUUAUUUAUUUAUUCAUAAAGACACCUAUUGAAAGAUGUCUCUAUGAAGAGACAUGAAAAUUCCUAUAAAUAGGAAUGGGAUUUCAUUUGGAAAUCAUAUCAACAAAUUCUAAUAUUAUUUCUUCUCUUCCUUCAUUUUCUAAUAUUAUUAGAUUAUUCUAUAAAGUAUUGCUGCAGAAAUCCUUUGUAGAAAUUGAGUUUUUGUUAUACAUUACUCAGUGCAUAGUGGACUAUUCUCGUCAGUGCAAAACGCAAAUAGUCAUUGGCUUCAUUGUAUCCUCGAGGUUAAUUUGCUUGGAACUCAUUUGCACACUGAAGAUAAGUGGGGGCGAAUAUAACCUUAAAGAUAGUGGCUUGAUACACGCCUUGGAGCCUGUCCUAUUUCUUCUUUUUCUUUUCGAGUUCCGAUCGUGUGUUCGAGUUUUUUCCUUACCGGAGUUUUGUACUAACAAUUUUAAGGUUAUAGUUCAUGAUGACUACCACAACACAUGAAAGUGGAACACUAAGGGAGUUGGCUUCCAACUUUGUUAAACUUGAUCGUUUUGAUGGUGGCAAUUUUCGACGAUGGCAGAAAAAGAUGCACUUUUUGUUAUCAACUUUGAAGAUUACUUAUGUUUUGGAUACUCCAAGACCUGAAGAGAAUGAAAACGAAUCUAUUGCUGCAACCCGAGAAAGACAAAAAUGGGACAAUGCUGAUUACAUGUGCAUGGGCCACAUAUUGAAUGGUUUAUCUGAUGGUUUGUUCGACACCUACCAAAACGACGUCACCGCUAAAGAAUUAUGGGACAAAUUGGAGGUAAGAUACAUGACCGAAGAUGUUACAAGUAAGAAAUUUCUUGUCAGUCGUUUUAAUAAUUAUCAAAUGGUUGAUGGUCGUUCUGUUAUGGAACAAUUUCGUGAUAUUGAAAAGAUGCUGAAUCAAUUUAAGCAAUAUGAUAUGAAAAUGGAUGAAAUGAUUGUGGUAUCCUCUAUAAUAGACAAACUUCCUCCAUCUUGGAAAGACUUUAAAAGAAGUAUAAAACAUAAGAAAGAGGAAAUAUCUCUUGAGGCUUUGGCAAAUCAUCUUCGUAUUGAAGAAGAGUAUCGAAAACAAGAUCAGAACCUAAAUUCUGAAAAUGCCAAAGUACAUGUUACGGAGGAAGUACAGACUACUAAACCAUUCAAAAGAAAGUUCAAUCAGGCUGAUAGAGCACCUAAGUUCAAAAAGAAACAAAAGGGCUCAUGCUAUCAUUGUGGAAAGCCGGGACAUUUCAAGAAUGAAUGUCGAUUUUUAAAGAAGAAAUCAUCUUCUAAGGCUGAUAAUAACGAAAAGUUCGUUGCAAUGAUAUCUGAAAUUAAUAUGGCACAAGAUGAUAAUACAUGGUGGAUUGAUACCGGAGCAACCAAACAUGUGUGCAAAGACAAAAGCAUGUUCACAAAGUUCACACAAUGUGAAAAUGACAAUGUCUUGUACAUAGGAAAUUCUUCCACCGCAACAAUUAAAGGCAAAGGGUCUGUUGAACUACAAUUCACUUCUGGAAAUGUUUUAACCUUAAAUGAUGUAUAUUAUGUACCAGAAGUUAGGAAAAAUUUAGUGUCUGGAAGUCUGUUGAAUAAGUUUGGUUUCAAACUUGUUUUUGAGGCAGAUAAGUUUAUUUUGUCUAAGGGAGGAAUUUUUGUGGGAAAAGGGUAUAUGUAUGAAAGCAUGUUCAAACUUAAUAUUAUUAAUAAGAAUAAAAAUACUAUUUCUGCUUAUAUGGUUGAAUCAUUUUGUUUGUGGCAUUAUAGAUUAGGUCAUUUGAAUUAUAGAAAAUUGAAUGACAUGUAUAAAUUAGAUUUAAUUCCUGUUUUUAAUAAUAAUAUUGAAAAAUGCAAUACCUGUAUGUUGACUAAAAUUACAAGAAAUCCUUUCCCUAAGGUUAAAAGGAAAACAAAAUUGCUUGAUUUGAUACAUAGUGAUUUAUGUGACUUGCAUAAUACUCCUACAUUAGGUAGAAAGAAAUAUUUUGUUACUUUUAUUGAUGAUUGUUCUAGAUAUUGUUAUGUAUAUUUAUUGCAUUCAAAAGAUGAAGCGCUUGAUAAAUUUAAAGUUUAUAAAUCUGAAGUUGAACUUCAGUGUGAAUCAUUUAUCAAGUGCUUAAGAUCGGAUAGAGGUGGAGAAUACUAUAAUCCAAGUUAUUUUGAACUCACUGGAAUUGUCCAUCAAGUUUCAGCCCCUUACACACCACAACAAAAUGGUGUAGCUGAAAGGAAAAAUAGAGUCUUGAUUGAAAUGGUAAAUUCAAUGUUAUCAUAUUCAGGUCUUGGACAGGGUUUUUGGGGAGAAGCUGUUCUAACAGCUUGUCAUAUAUUGAAUAGAGUUCCUAAUAAGGAAACUAAAAUAACCCCCUAUGAACAAUAGAAGAAAAGGAAACCAAACCUUAAUUAUUUAAAGGUUUGGGGUUGUAGAACUAUUGUAAAAGUUCCAACACCUAAACGUAAAAAGUUAGGUGAAAGAGGAAUUGAAUGCAUAUUUAUAGGUUAUGCACAUAAUAGCAAGGCAUAUAGGUUCAUAGUAAUUGAACCAAAUGAUUCAAUUUCAAUUAAUACGGUUAUUGAAUCAAGAGAUGCUAUUUUUGAUGAAAAUAGAUUUAAUUAUAUAUCAAGACAAUUACAACCACAACAAUUGAUUCAUUCUUCAAAUGAGAAUGAGAUUCCAUUGAAACAAAUUGAUAAUAAUGAUGAAUCUUGUCAAGAAUUAAGAAGAAGUAAGAGGAUUAAAAAGGUCAAAGAUUUUGGACCAGAUUUCAUUAUGUUUCUUGUAGAAGGAAAAGGUGAAAGUAUAUGCAAUAAGAUACCUUAUUGUUAUAAUACCGAAUCUGAUCCUAUUACAUUUGAAGAAGCAGUGAAAUCUCAAGACUCUGCUUUUUGGAAAGAAGCAAUAAAUGAUGAAAUGGAUUCAAUAAUGGGAAAUCAAACUUGGAUCUUAGUUGAUCUUCCACCAGGUUCCAAACCAAUAGGUUGUAAAUGGAUGUUCAAAAAGAAAAUGAAGGUCGAUGGAACCAUUGAUAAAUUUAAAGCAAGGUUGGUAGCAAAAGGUUUUACACAAAGACAAAGUAUUGAUUACUUUGAUACCUAUGCUCCAGUAGCAAGAAUUGCUACAAUUAGACUAUUAAUAUCACUUACCUCUAUAUAUAAUUUGGUUGUUCACCAAAUGGAUGUUAAAACUGCAUUUUUAAAUGGUGAAUUGGAAGAGGAAGUGUACAUGGAGCAACCGGAAGGAUUUGUUGUUCCAGGACAAGAGCAUAAGGUAUGUAAGCUUGUUAAAUCUUUAUAUGGGCUUAAACAAGCACCAAAACAAUGGCACCAAAAGUUUGACAAGGUUGUUUUAGCUAAUGGCUAUAAAAUAAAUGAAUCCGAUAAGUGCAUAUAUAGUAAAUUUGAUAAUGGAAAGGGUGUUAUAAUUUGCUUAUAUGUAGAUGACAUGCUCAUUUUUGGCACGGAUUUGGAACAAAUAGAAAACACAAAGAAAUUCUUGUCAAACAACUUUGCUAUGAAGGAUAUGGGUGUAGCAGAUGUUAUUCUUGGGAUUAAAAUAACCCGAGAUGAAAGCACUAUAGCUUUAUCACAAUCACAUUACAUUGAAAAUGUGCUUAAAAAGUUUGAUCUUUUCAACUGUAUACCAGCAUCUACACCCAUGGAUCCUCAAUUAAAAUUAGUAUCUAAUGCUGGUAGGAAAAUUGAUCAAUUGAAAUAUGCAAGUCUAAUUGGUUGUCUUAUGUACAUAAUGACUUGUACAAGACCAGAUAUUGCAUAUGCUAUUGGAAAAUUGAGUAGAUACACAAGUAAUCCAAGUAGUUUGCAUUGGCAAGCUUUAAAUAGAGUACUUAGGUACUUAAAGAAAACUAUUAACUAUGGAUUGUGUUAUAAUGGAUAUCCUCCAGUUUUAGAAGGGUAUUCGGAUGCUAGUUGGAUUACAAGUUUGGAAGAUCAUGCAUCUACUAGUGGGUGGAUCUUCAUUCUUGGUGGAGGAGUCAUUUCUUGGGGUUCCAAGAAACAAACAUGUAUUACCGAUUCCACCAUGGCAGCAGAAUUUAUUGUAUUAGCCGCUGCAUCUAAAGAAGCAGAAUGGUUAAGAAAUUUGCUUUAUGAUGUACCUUUAUGGCUUAAGUCAAUUUCACCUAUUUCUAUCCGUUGUGAUAGUGAGGCUACUCUAGCAAAGGCAUAUAGCCAAGUAUAUAAUGGAAAGUCUAGACACAUUGGAUUAAGACAUAGUUAUGUCCGACAAUUAAUCUCUGAUGGAGUGAUCACUAUUAAUUAUGUGAGGUCAAGUGAAAAUUUGGCAGAUCCUUUGACAAAAAGUCUUGCUAGAGAUGCAGUAAAAAGGACCUCAAAAGGGAUGGGACUCAAGCCUAUUAAUUAGAGUCACCCAUGAUGGAAACUCGACUCAACGCUUGGUAUAACGUCAAGUCUUGAGUUCAAUGAGACAAAGUACAUCAUUAGUAUGUGACUGUUAGCACUAUAAAUAAAUCCAUCCUAAGAUUAAAGUGCUAGGUACCCGUAAUGAUAAGGGAAGGAUGAGUAAUGUACUCUUAAUGGACCCAUAACAUAAAUAUGUUAGAGUGUUAUAAUUACGGGAACACUUUUGAUGGGAUCUACCUAUGUGAGUGGAAGUGUGGCCGCUUCUAGGAGCUUAAGGGCUUGGCUCUGACAGCACUCAUGAAAAGAGGACAUAGACACAUGGCUAUAAUAGUGUCCCUAGAUACUAUGCAUUGACUGAUGUUGAAAUCAUUGUGUGAGAUGUGUUCAGUUAAUCAAAUGGAAUAGUUGGUUCAAAGCUUAGUCUACCAUACAAUUUCGAUUAACUUUAACAUGUUUUCACUAAGUGAAGGUUCAAUCGUAAGACACCUUUAUUUAUGCAAAUUGAUUUCCAAGAAUAUCAAAAUCUAAAUAUUUUGAAAAUGGGGGGAGAUUGUUGGAAUAUUUUCAAAUAUUUAUAGUAUCCCAAUAACUAUAAAUGAAUGGGUGUAAUUAAUCAAAAGAUAAAACUUUUGGUCAUUGGUCAAAAGUUAUAUCAUUUGAUUUUUUAAAAAAGAAUUAUAACUAUUCAAAAAAUAUUAUUUGAAUAGUUACAAAAUUAAAUGAAUAAUUAUUAUUAUUUAUUUAUUCAUAAAGACACCUAUUGAAAGAUGUCUCUAUGAAGAGACAUGAAAAUUCCUAUAAAUAGGAAUGGGAUUUCAUUUGGAAAUCAUAUCAACAAAUUCUAAUAUUAUUUCUUCUCUUCCUUCAUUUUCUAAUAUUAUUAGAUUAUUCUAUAAAGUAUUGCUGCAGAAAUCCUUUGUAGAAAUUGAGUUUUUGUUAUACAUUACUCAGUGCAUAGUGGACUAUUCUCGUCAGUGCAAAACGCAAAUAGUCAUUGGCUUCAUUGUAUCCUCGAGGUUAAUUUGCUUGGAACUCGUUUGCACACUGAAGAUAAGUGGGGGCGAAUAUAACCUUAAAGAUAGUGGCUUGAUACACGCCUUGGAGCCUGUCCUAUUUCUUCUUUUUCUUUUCGAGUUCCGAUCGUGUGUUCGAAUUUUUUCCUUACCGGAGUUUUGUACUAACAAUGUCUUGUUUUCACCUCCAUUUAAAAAUUAUUUGAACUAUUGCUUCAAAAAAAAUUUUGAACUAUUAAAAAAAUAAACAUUAGUAAUGUAUUUUUUUCCUUUUUUUUACUUAUUUUAAUAAAAAUUUCAGUUAAUGUAUUUGAAGAAAUCUGAGGUAUGGGACCAAGUCAUUUGACUAAAUGGUAUGCCUUUACCUAUAAAAGUUUCUGAGUUGGCUGAUACAAUGAAAUGUUAUAUUUUCUUUUGUCUUUGACAAUUUGUGGUGGAUUUGAUCAUUCUAAGUAAAAAAUAGCAUAUUAUUUAGCUUAAUGUACCCAUUAAAUAUGCUGUAUUGCCAGAUUAGUCCCCGAUUUUUACCAUCACUCUCCUCUAGGAUAUGUCAAGCAACAGCAUCACAUGAGCUGAUCAACUUGCUUGUUUUGGUGUCUGGAGGUAAUGAAGAUAAACAGGAAAUUUGACAGUGGAACUUUUGAUAAUGUUAGACUAGUCCACAGAGUUGCCCCUACAAUUUAACCAUCGAUAACUGGGAUAUUGCAUUACGGACAGCUCCUACAAACAAAUAUCAGUUCAGGGUGGGACAGCCACUAAUUUGCGUUGUGAAGUGGUGAUAUUAAAUCUCAAGAUAGUACAAAGUAACAUGGAAAGUUCAGACCAGCUUUGUUCACUUUCUGGUAGCCAAGUCCAUGUGACAUAUUUUCUCUAUAUAUACUAGUUGAGAGGGUGCUUCCUACUGUCUAAUACAUAUUUUCAUGCCUUAGCUAUUGAGAAGCCUUAGAGCUGCAUAUCCUACCAUUACGAUUUUUUCAGUGACAUGAGAAUUAUGGGUUUCAGAGUACCUGUACUAACAUAAUUAUUUACAACAAAUUUCCUUUUGAUCUGAUACCGCGGAAGCGUGUGAAAGAGUAAAAUUAUUGUACUAAAAAAUCACACUAAGUUCAAUUCCCAGGAAAGAGAGGUGGAUCACGAGGAUCGCUUAAGUACCAGGUCUUUCCUAGCCAGAAUAUUCCUCUAUCGUAAUUUAAUAGCACAAUAAAUCACUACAAUCACACUCACAAAAUAUGGAAAAUAAACAAUAAAGAACACUAGAAUUUUAACGAGGUUUAGCAAAUUUUUCCUACGUCCUCGGGCACUACCAAAUAUAUUUCACUCUAAAAAUACAAGUGAAAUUUUACAAAUAAGGAGAGAGAAUAAUGCCUUAAGUAGAGAAUGACAUUUGUGGGAUGGAGAAAAUGAGAAAUAGCUAGGCCUAUUUAUAGUUGAAGCUCAAGGAUUAACUUGUAAAGUUUCUAUACAAUUAGGGACCAAAAUUGGAAUUAUCCCAAGCCAAAUUUCAACCCAAAAAUCUAUGCCUUAAAUGCUUAGAUUUUCGGUGCGAAAUCUCUGACACAAAUAUCUUUGAAAAGUCAAAGAUUGUAGAUUGCCAAUAAUCUCCACCUUGAAGAUUUGAUUAGGAUAAUCUUAUCUUCACACAAUUCUUUCUGCCUUUGACAACAAUACUUGAUAGUGCCUUCUUCAACUGUUAAAUUUGCAGGAUAUUGAUCAAGUUCAAACAAUGUUUGAACUUGAUUGUUGUUACCACCUUAGUCAUCAUAUCUGCGGGAUUAUCUGCAGUCUUGAUCUUUUGAAGACGAAUUUUCCCCUCAUCAAUAAUUUCCCGCACAAAAUGGAAUCGUACGUCGAUAUGCUUUGUACGUGCAUGAUAGACAUGAUUCUUUGCUAAAUGAAUAGCACUUUGACUAUCACAAUACACGUCAAUAUGCUCCUGAACCAAUCCCAAGGUUUUAACCAUACCUUGUAACCAAAUAGCUUCCUUUACAGCCUCUGUUACAGCCAUGUAUUCGGCUUCUGUGGUUGACAACGCAACUGUAGACUGCAGUGUAGACUUCCAACUUAUUGGUCCUCCAGCAAGUGUAAACACAUAACCGGUGGUUGAUCUUCGUUUGUCCAAAUCACCGGCAUAGUCAGAAUCAACGUACCCAAUAACACCUUUACCAAGUGUAGUAUCCUGCUUGAACAGUAAUCCAACAUCCACGGUCUUCAGAAUAUACCGUAGAAUCCAUUUCACAGCUUGCCAAUGUCCUUUUCCAGGAUUAUGCAUAUACCUGCUCACUAUACUAACUGCCUGUGAAAUGUCGGGUCUUGUACACACCAUUGCAUACAUCAAGCUACCCACUGCAUUAGAAUACGAAACUUGUAACAUGUAUUCUCGUUCCGUAUUCGUCGAAGGAGAUAGUUGUGCAGAAAGCUUGAAAUGAGAAGCCAACGGGGUACUUACAGGUUUUGUCUGCUCGUUCAUGCCAAACUGCUGUAGUACUUUCUUCAAAUACUGCUUCUGAGACAAGCUAACUCUGCCAUGAGCUCUAUCUCUACUUAUUUCCAUGCCAAGAAUCUUCUUAGCUUCACCCAGAUCUUUCAUCUCAAACUCAAGAUUGAGUUGAGUCUUCAAUUUCUCAAUCUCAACUUUGCUCUUAGAUGCUAUUAGCAUAUCAUCAACAUAUAAGAGCAAGUAUAUGAAAGUUCCUACUUAUAGCUUCUGAAAAUACAUGCAAUGAUCAAAUUUACUUCUUGUGUACCUUUACCCUUUCAUGAACUGAUCAAAUCGCUUGUACCACUGCCUCGGAGAUUGUUUCAAUCCAUAAAACGACUUCGUCAGUUUGCAAACCCAAUUUUCUUUAUCAGCAACCUUGAAUCCAUCAGGCUGAGUCAUAUAGAUUUCCUCCUGUAAAUCACCGUGUAAAAAAGCCGUCUUCACAUUAAGCUGAACUAGUUCAAGGUCAUAUUGCGCAACCAAGGCUAGCAAAAUCCGAAUAGACGAAUGCUUCACAACUGGAGAAAACAUUUCAUUGUAGUCUAUUCCUUCUUUCUGAGCGUAACUCUUUGCUACCAAUCUAGCCUUAUAUCGAAUUUCAUUUUUACCAGGAAAUCCUUCCUUCUUUGCAUAUACCCAUUUGCAUCCAAUUGCCUUCUUUCCCUUGGGCAGUGUCACCAACUCCCAAGUCCUAUUUUUAUGAAGAGACUGCAUUUCUUCAUUCAUAGCUUGCUUCCACUUUACACCAUCAGGGUUACUUAUUGCUUCUGUGUAAGUAGAAGGAACAUCAUCAUCUGCAAUUGGAAGUGCAUAGGCCACUAUAUCAUCAAAGCGAGCAGGCUUACGAAUCUCUCUUCUUGGCCUCCUAUAUGCAAUUGAAUCUUGUUGCUGUAAAAGUUCUUGGGUCGAAACUUCUUCAUAAUUUGUUUCUUCAAUAUUAGCUGGAUCAUCAUUAACCUUUUCAAGCUCCACCUGCUGCAAAGUACUACUGGUUUUGUCAUCCUUUUGUGAAUCCUUGUUUUUCAUCAUGGUUGAUUCAUCAAAAGUCACAUCUCUACUGAAAACAAUCUUCCUUGUAUCAGGACACCAGAGACGGUAUCCUUUUACUCCACCAGUUAUACCCAUGAAUAAUGCUUUCUUUGCUCUUGGGUCUAACUUAGAUUCUUUUACAUGAUAAUAUGCAGUGGAACCAAAAACAUGUAAAGAAUCAUAAUCAGUAGCAGGUUUACCAGUCCACAUUUCCAUAAAAGUUUUUCUAUUUAUUGCAGUUGAUGGCAACCGGUUAAUCAGAUGGCACGCAUAUGUAACUACCUCAGCCCAAAAUUCUUUGCCCAAUCCAGCAUUGGACAACAUAUAUCGAACUUUCUCCAGUAUAGUUCGAUUUAUACGUUCUGCCACCCCAUUCUGCUGUGGUGUAUCUCGAACAGUGAAGUGUCGCACAAUGCCCUCAUCUUGACAUACUUGAAGAAAUGGGUCAUUUUUGUACUCAGUACCAUUAUCUGAUCGAAGUCGUUUGACCUUUCGACCAGUCUGAGUCUCCACCAUCUUCUUCCAUUUCAGAAAUACAUCCAAAACUUCACUUUUUCUUUUCAUUAGAUACACCCAUACUUUUCUUGAAUAAUCAUCAACAAAAGUAACAAAAUAAUGCAUACCUCCCAAAGAAGCCACUUUGGUAGGUCCCUACACGUCACUGUGAACGUAGUCCAGAAUUCCUUCCGUACUGUGGAUUGCUGAACUAAAUUUUACCCUCGUCUGCUUGCCCAGAACACAAUGUUCACAGAAUUCCAAUUUGCAAGAAUUUUCACCUUUCAACAGGCCUUGCUUCGCCAAAGUUUGCAAAUCUUUUUCACCAGCAUGUCCCAAUCGCCUAUGCCAUAACUUGGUAGCCUCUGAAUUUGCAUCUUUCACUGAAACUGUUGAUGUUGAUCCAAUAACUGUACUUCCAUUUAAAUAGUACAAGUUAUUUCUUCUAGUGCCUUUCAUCACCGUCAAUACCCCAGCUACUACCUUUAGCAAUCCAUCUCUCAAAGUGACUGUGAGCCCUUUAGAUUCUAGGGCCCCUAAUGAGAUGAGAUUUUUCUUCAAGCUAGGUACAUAGCGAACAUCUGUCAAGACUUGGAUUGAGCCGUCGUGAUUCUUCAAUUUGAUUGUACCUACUCCCAUUGUCUUACUAGCACUGUCAUUGCCCAUAAAAACAACUCCACCUUCUAGUUCUUCAAGACUAGAAAACUAGUCCUUAUUAGGACACAUAUGGUAAGUACAUCCCGAAUCUAAUAUCCACUCAUCUGUAUGACAUGUCAUUGCCAUGCCAACCAAGCUAAAGUCUGACUCCUCAUCAUGCUCCGCUACACAUGCAUUAGAAAUAGCCUUGCCCUUUUGUAACUUAGGACAAUUCUUUUUCCAAUGCCCUUUCUCACAACAAAAAGCACAUUCAUCUUUGGCGGGUCUCCCUUUGGACUUGCCCCUUCUACCAGGUUUGUUGCUGUGUGAACGACCUCUUACUGCUAAGGCUUCUGCAGUUGCAUCUCUGUGAUCUCUUUUAUCUUUUUUUCGAGUCUCAGAUCUAUACAACGCGCUGCAGACUGCAUCAAAUGUGAUCGUAUCCUUCCCAUGAAGCAAUAUGCUGGUAAGAUGAUCAUAUUCAUCAGGAAGAGAAUUCAACAACAAUAAUGCCUUGUCUUCAUCUUCAAACUUCUCAUCCAAAAUUAGUAAGUCUGCUAAAAUUUUAUUGAAUGAGUUCACAUGGUCAUUCAUCGACAUACCGGGUGCAUACGUGAACCGAAAAAGUUUUUUUUUCAUAUAAAGCCUAUUUUCAAGACUUUUCGUUAGAAACUUUUCUUCCAGUGUAUCCCACAACUUCUUCGUUGAUGUCUCCCUCAUGACAGAGUACUUCUGCUCUUUGGCCAAACAUAGGCGGAUUGUACCACACGCCUGUCUAUUGAUCUUGGCCCACUCCUUAUCAUCCAUCUUGUCAGGCUUUUCUUCAAGAGCUAUAUCCAACUCUUGCUGACAUAAGACAUCCAGGAUCUCACAUUGCCACAUACCAAAAUUAUUGGUACCAUCAAAUUUCUCUACUUCAAAUUUUGCAUUGGUCACGGUAGUCUUUGUUGAUGACGAUGCCUCUGCCAUUCUUCUCCUCGAUCCCAACUACUGUAUAUGUGAACAGUACCAUCUACGUGAAUAGUGCCGUGGAUGAACAAUACCGUAUACGUAAAUAGUAUCGUAAACGGUCGUAUUCCCCAAGUACGAAUCUAGCUCUGAUACCAAUUGUUGUGCGAAAGCGUGUAAAAGAGUAAAAUUAUUGUACUAAAAAAUCACACUAAGUUCAAUUCCCAGGAAAGAAAGGUGGAUCACGAGGAUCGCUUAAGUACCAGGUCUUUCCUAGCCAGAAUAUCCCUCUAUCAUAAUUUAAUAGCACAAUAAAUCACUACAAUCACACUCACAAAAUAUGCAAAAUAAACAAUAAAGAACACUAGAAUUUUAACGAGGUUCAGCAAAUUUUGCCUACGUCCUCGGGCACUACCAAAUAUAUUUCACUCCAAAAAUACAAGUGAAAUUUUACAAAUAAGGAGAGAGAAUAAUGCCUUAAGUAGAGAAUGACAUUUGUGGGAUGGAGAAAAUGAGAAAUAGCUAGGCCUAUUUAUAGUUGAAGCUCAAGGAUUAACUUGCAAAGUCUCUAUACAAUUAGGGAUCAAAAUUGGAAUUAUCCCAAGCCAAAUUUCAACCCAAAAAUCUAUGCCUUAAAUGCUUAGAUUUUCGGUGCCAAAUCACACAAAUAUCUUUGAAAAGUCAAAGAUUGUAGAUUGCCAAUAUUACCCUUUACCCCCAAUAUGUCAGCUACAUAGGUAAGAUGAAAAAGGGGGUGAGAAUGAGACUUUAAUAAUCAAUAAUAAGUAAAUAUAUGCACGUAACAAAUAUACCUUCAUAUAUGUUAUAGCUAAGAUUUUGACCUUGAAAAACAGUGCCAAAAAUGAUAUAUUCAUGCCCCUUAGUUUAUUUUCAUUUUCUUAGUCAAGUCAACAUUGAAGGUCAAGGUAGCCCAACUGUAUAUGUUUCUGGUCAUGGUAUAACAGAUUACAUGUCUCAAGCUUGCCUCUAACAUCAAUGGUGAAACAAUACCAAUCUUAUACUAUGAAAAAGCUCAUCGAUACAAAAAAAAAAAAACUAAAUAAACAAAGUGACUUGAGCUUAAUGGCUGAUGCUAUCAAAUCUGUCCUUCAACACAUUAUACAUAAUAAUGAAUAGUCAAUAUAUGCAAAGAACCAUGAAUUUACAUGCCAAGAAAAAUGUGGAACGGAAACAGAUUCAUCUCUAAGGUUAUUCAUAUAUAGCAACACAUACUGGAAAUUUCGUCAGCUGUCAGGUUUAGUAUUGUCUUUCUCCCCCGUGGAACUGUUUGAUUGCUGCACAGCAUAACCAACAGCCUGGGGACUAGUUGUAGCAUGUAGGACACAUUUUUUGAGUGAAUUCAGCAUGACAGAUUGUUUGUCUCUAAAGGUUGCCUCUAAUGUAAAUGGUGAAGUGAUAAGAAUCUUCUACCGUGAAGAAGGUUUUUAAGGAUCCAAAGCUUCCAUAUUCAAGUGGGACCUUGGUCGGUUUGUUCUGCCGGAAAGGGUAGGCAAAUUAUUCUUUCAAGUCUUUGCCAUGGAAUUCUUUAUAAUGCUUUGGAAAACAACACCAUGUGAUGCCCCACUAACCCAUGUCUAUCUCAUUAAUGAUCAGACCCCAGCAAUUGUCCCUUCACCACUCAUUCCUCAUCCUCCACUUAAUAGAGAAACAUUUCCUUUGGCCCAUUGCAUCUAUAUAUACAAGUAAGAUUAAGUUCAUUGGCAACACCUACUUUCACAUUCUCAAGUACUAAACUUCUUUACCUUAGAUUUCCAAGUUCUCUGAGAUCUUCCUCCUCUUCCCUUUUGAAGCAUACAUCUACUGAAAACAACAAUGGCUUUCCGCCUUUCUCGUAUCGUUAACUCUAAGAAGGUUCCCAAGGGCUACUUUGCGGUUUAUGUCGGAGAAAACCAGAAGAGGUUCGUGAUACCGGUGUCGUUCUUGAACCAGCCUUCAUUUCAAGAUUUGCUAGACAUGUCACAAGAAGAGUUCGGAUAUAGUCAUCCUACUGGCGGUCUCACGAUUCCCUGCAAUGAAGACACCUUUCUCGAAGUUACCUCUCGCUUGUAAUAAUUGUGAGAUGAUUAACACAAAUCAGGCAAUACAAUUUUGUAAAGCAAACAUCACUAAUACAUGUAAACAUUUUUUUCUCCAUCCUUUUGGCCUUGGAGAGCUGAUAUAAGUCUCCCCAAGUGGAGAACUAGAGAUGGUGAUUAGUGUAACACUCCUAUCCAUCAGUAAUGAUAGUUCAAAACACAUCAUUCAAUUGUCAUUUUAUUUCCUUUCUGAAUUUUUUACUUGUUCGCGUUAAUUCAUCUUUAAUAUAAACUGUAAAUGAUCUACUUUGUUCUAAAAUUACUUUCAAACGUGAGUACAUGCUAAGUUAUUUGGAGUUGGACCCUUCAUUUUCGUUCAAUUUCAUGUGUCCAACACAUAUUCAAACAUGAGUACAAAGUCUAGUUAAGAUAGAUCACAAGUUUUCUUUUGCAUGGUAGUAGCUUAUUAAACGAUCAAUUUCGUGUUAUAAUUUUCAAAGUAAUUUUCUUAAUGUAGAUUUGCCCAAGAAUUAAGAUAUAUAAAGAUUUGAGGCAGGGGACUAAGUGAUUAAUAAAACAAACCUAAGGACAAAAGAUUUUAAAGGAAAAAAGAGAAAAGUAAAAGAGAGAUAAGUUCAUGAUACAUGCUGAUUAGUUUUAUCAGAAAGUAAACUUGCCUAAUAUGGACGUCUUUCCCACAUCAUUCUUUUUACUUGCUUGGUUCUAUGAAAUAUGGUUAAUCGACUUUGCUCAAAUUCAAGAAAAUUUUCUAGUAGUCUAAACUCCAAUCAUGUAUAUGGAGACAAGUAUACAAAUGACUGAAUGUAACAUCAAAUGGCAGAUUUUUUAUCCAAAAGGUAAUAUCAAAUAUGUUCACACUAAGCAUAUUACUAUCCAAAAGGUGACAGCAGCUGCAUAAAUAACCAAAGGCCAUCUUGUUGUUUAUGUAGGUGAAUCCCAAAAGAGGCUGGUUUAUAAUUCCUGUUUCAUUCUUAAAGCACCCUUCAUUUCAAGAACUGAUAAAGUAGACUGAAGACGAGUUUGGCUUUGAAUCAUCCAAGGGGUAAUCUCACGGUCCCAUGUGCAGAAGAAGCCUUCAUUGAACUUUCUUGUAGUUUGAAUAGCUUUCUCACUUUGACCUGACAUCUUAUCUCCCCAAUAUAAUAAUGAAUAGUAAAAAAUGUACAGAGAACAGAACAAACAUACCACCAGAAAUGUGGACUAAAAACAGACUUAUUUGUAAUGGUAUCCAUAUAUAUAUAGCAGCACAUACCAGAAAUUUAGUGAGCUGUCAAGCUGAAUAUUGUCUUCACCCCUGUGGAACUAUAUGAUUGCAGCACGGCAUAGACAACAAACCUGGAUAAAAUGCAACAACUUGGGUUCAGAUGAGGAGUUGUUGUGGCCUGUAGGACGCACUUUAGGCGCUCUUCACAAUGGAUUGUCUUGCAAGUUUUAUGUGAAGUCUGUACGAAAUAGGAGGUCAAGGUCACCCAUGUUACUUGUUCCCUAUCAUUGCAUGACAGAUUGUAUGUCUCUAAAGGUUGGCUCUAAUGUCAAUGGUGAAGUAAUAAAAAUCUUCUACUAGGACGAAGCUUUUAUGAAUCCAAAUCUUCCAUAUCUGAGUAGGUCCUUAGUCGGUUCAUUUUCCCGGCAAGGUAGGGAAACUAUUCUUUCAAGUCUUAGCCAUGGAAUUCUUGAUAAUGCUUUGGAAGACAACACCAUGUGAUUCCCCGUAUACCCAUGUCUUUCUCUUUACUGAUCAGACCCCAGCAAUUGCACCUUCACCACUCAUUCCACAUCCCCCACUUAAUAAUAGAUGAACAUCAUUUCCUCUCUGCCCUACACAUCUAUAUAUACAAGUAAGAGUAAGUUCAUUGGCAACACCUCCCUUCAACAUUCUCAAGCUUGCUUUCCAAGUUAUCUGAUAUCUUCCUUUUCUUCCCUUUUGAAGCAUACAUCCAUCAAAAACAACAAUGGCUAUCCGCCUGCCUCGUAUGGUUAGUUCUAAGAAGGUUCCCAAGGGAUACUUUGCAGUUUAUGUUGGAGAAAGCCAGAAGAGGUUAGUGAUACCGGUUUCAUUCUUGAACCAUCCUUCAUUUCAAGAUUUGCUAGGGAAGUCAGAAGAAGAGUUUGGAUAUAGUCAUCCUACCGGUGGUCUCACAAUUCCCUGCAACGAAGACACCUUUCUCGAAGUUACCUCUCGCAUGUAUUGAUCGUGAGAUGAUUAACACAAACCAGUCAAUACAAUUUUGUAAAGCAAAAAUCACUAAUACAUGUAAACAUUUUUUUCUCCAUCCUUUUUGUCUUGGGGAGCCGAUAUAUAAGUCACCCCAGGUGGAAAACUAAAGAUGGUGAUUACUGUAACACUCCUAUCUAUUCAGUAAUGACAGUUCCAAACACAUCAUUCAGUUGUCAUUUUAUUUCCUUUCUGAAAUUUUUACUUGUUCUACGCUAAUUCCGUCUUUAAUAUAAUUUAAAUGAUCUACCUUAUUCGAAAUUGCUUCAUACUACAAGCCAAGUUAAAUGGAGAAGCAGUAGAGUACAACUAUUCUACUUUGAAGAAGCAUUUUAAAGAUGACAGUUAAACUUAAAAGACAUCAUUCAAUUGAAAAUUUAUUUCUUUAGAGAAUUUCCUAUGGCACCCCUGUUAUUGUUAAUUUCAUCUUUAAACUGUAAGUGAUCCAUAUUUUUUCAAAAAUUACUUCAUAUUACAAGCUAACUGUAAAUGACUAGCAUUUAUCAUUUUUCUCUACAUAUACGAGUAGUAAGGGUGCUUCCCACUGUCCAAUAUGAAUAUAAUUGUACAUAUAUAAUCUAACAUAAUGUAAAUUUCUGUAUACUUUUGUCUCCAUUGUUCCUGUACAGGAAAUUCAAAGUAAAAUUCACCACCCACUUUUAUUCUCCUUUUUGCAAACAAUGACUACUUAAUAUAUAGAUGUCAGCAAGUGGAAUGUAAGGCCACCAUCAUCAUCACUUCUUCUAUUCAAAUUCCCUUUUGACCAGUCGUCUUAUCUCCCCUUAUCCCAUUCAUUUAGCUAAAGUGUUAAGCUUACUGUUACUAAUAAAUGGUCAAUAUAUGCAGAGAACUCCACUGUAAUGUGGAUUAAAAACAUAUUCAUCUGAAAGGCUUAAUAUUGUCUUUCUCCCCCAAGGUACAGUUUGAUUGCAGCACAGCAUAGACAACAAGAAGGAUAAAAUGCAACAAGUUGGGUUCUGACGAGGACUAGUUGCAGCCUGUAAGACACACUUCAGGUCUCCUUCACAAGGGUUUGUCUUACGAGUUACUCAUUGAAGUUAACACAUGACUGAUCAGACAAUGUGAUUUACCAAUGAAUUCUUGAAAAUUCAUUUGCCUAUACCGUUUCUUUCAUAUGAAAAUAGACUCGAUAAUCUUUAAUCAUAUACCUCAUUCAUUCUAAUAUCCUCGGUGAAUUUUUCAAAAUCACAUCACUGCUGCUGUCCAAGAAAAAAAAAACUAUUCCAUUGCAAUUUUUUUUUACUCUUUCAUAAUUUCUUUGUAUUAACUAGCAUUUAGGCAUACAUAACACUAAACAUAUUCUUAAUUAGCCAUCUCAAUAGCUAAUCAUUAUCAAAUAACUUUACUUCCUUAUUUCAACCUUUUUCGAAACACAAUCCAAACAAUUAACCAUGUUAUUUAAUCAAGCAUGAAACCACACAUAUCAAAAUAAACAAGCCAUUUUUGCAUGGCUCAUUAUAUAUAUAUAUAUAAACAUCAUUCAAAAUAUAUUCCAAAAAGUAGUAUAGACUAUACAUGCCAUAAGUUUAAGUUUAACUUUUAUAAAUACCGAUAACGGACGAUAGUGUGAUUGAUUUCGUUAACGAUCCCCGAUCCCGCAACUAACUUCCAAAAUCUACAAAACCGAGGCAAACACAUAUGCACGGGAAGCUAUCAAAGCUUAGUAAGUCACAAGCAAAUAAACAAUCCAAUGUUAUUAAUAGUUCAAUAUCACAUAACCAAAUUAUUCAAUUCAUAUUCAUAUAUAUAUAAGCAUAAAAAAAAUUUGUGAUAUCACAUACCCUUACCAUUUGGCCAAAUAUAGUCUUUAAUACACACACACAUACUUUCAUUUGCAUCAUCUAAUUUGUAUCACAAAUGAAAUAACCAACUUACCUUGAUAUCAUAUAUUAUUUAACUAUUACAUACUUGUAAUAUCAUGUACUUAUAUGUCACAUUCAUCAUUCAUUGGAUCCGCACAAUUUGUGCUAAAUAAUUUGUCGAAGCUAUAAUGACGUUGCACAAUUAGUGCUCUCUCUUAUUUAACCAAAUUGAUCUUGGUAUUGCACACUUAGUGCCUGUUAGUCGACAUUGUCAUUUUUUUUUCGCACACUUAGUGCCCGUUAUUCAACAUCGUCAUUUUAAUUUCGCACACUUAGUGCCAUUCGUAUAGCCAUAACUAUUCCAUACUCGCACACUCAAUGCUAAAUAUCGGUAAAUCACAUCCACGUCUAUUUCUGUUACCCGAACUUAAACACAUUCAGCUACAUAUAUAUAUUUGCAUGUUUUCAUUUCAGCAUAUAUAUAACUAAUAUUUAUUUAGAAUUUAUAUAAUCUAUUAGCUUAUAAACUUACCUUGGACAAUGAUAAAUCGGAACGGAACAAUUAAUCAACAACUUUUGUUUUCCCCGAUCCAAGUCCGAUUUCUUUAAUUCUUGAUCUAAACAUGUUCAAAUUAAACUCAUUCAAACAUGAUUUCAUUCAAUUCAGUCAAAAACGCAUAAAUAAGUAAAUUUCACUUUUGCCCCUGACAUUUCACAUUUUUCACAAUUUAGUCCCUAUUUCACAAAAUACAAAAUAUUCCAAAUUUGACCACACUAUAGCUCGGCCGAAUAUUCCCUAGACUCAUAUAAGUCCAUACAUUUCAUUUAUUUUACAUAUUUAACACCUAUUUUAUAACCUUUACAAAAUGGUCCUUUUAGGUGUUUUCAUGGUAACACCUUUAACAAAAGUUGUUUAUUUAACAACUAAGACUCAUUUUCUUCCAUAAAAAUGCAGCAACCUCACAUGGCAAAACCCUAGACUUCCAACCAUUUUGCAAAAUAGUCCCCUCAUUAGCUAGCUCAAGCUACAAGGGUUCCAAAAGUACAAAAAUUAUCAAAGACUGGUCAUCAAAACACUUACUUGUAAGGAGAAAAGCUUGCUGAAAUUUUUGAGCUCUCAAACCCCUAUUUUACUGCUAAUUUUCGGUGAUGAAGGUGGAGAAGAAAACAUGAUAUCACUCUUUUCUUUAUUUUAUGAUAAAAAUCAAUUUAGUCACCAAAUAUUUACCUAACCAAUUGACCAAAUCUUUUCUUUGCCCCUAUGGCCGGCCACCACCCUAAACAAGGCCUAAUUGCACAUUAGGGACCUCUAAUUAAUAUUCUAUAGCUUUUAGACACCUUUAUCUUGUAAAAUAGAACUUUUACACUUUAUGCGAUUUAGUCCUUUUAUCAAAUUAAGCACACAAACCGUAAAAUUAAAUCAUGAAAUUUUCACACAUAUUAAUUCAAAAAUUAUAAUCACAGAAAAUAAUAUUUAAAAAUUUUUCUAACUCGAAUUUGUGGUUUCGAAACCACUAUUCCGAUUAGGAUCGAAAUCUGACUGUUACACACACUCCAUUCUGUUGAGGAGUAUACACUGUUGUUAGCUGAUUGUGAAUUCCAGCUUGUUCACACAGUUUCUGAAACAAUAGGUACUCAGUGCCAUUAUCAGUUCUCAAGGCCUUGAUCUUGCAACCUGUCUGGUUUUCAACUAAAGCUUUGAAUUUGCUGAAUGCUUCAAACACUUCAGAUUUUUGCUUCAAGAAAUAAACCCAACAGAACCUGGUUAAUUCAUCUAUGAACAAAACAAAAUACUUACUGUCAUUCAAUGAAGAAGUCUUCAUUGGUCCACAAACAUCAGAAUGAACCAAUUCAAGUUUUUCUCAAGCUCUCCAUACACUGUUAGCUGGAAAAAGCAAUCUAGCCUGCUUACCAAGUUGGCAGACUUCACAAACAGUGUUUCUUACAUCAACCCUAGACAUGUCCUCAACCAAGUUCAGCCUAUGCAACAAGUCAAGUGAUCUAUGGUUAACAUGGCCAAGCCUUUUGUGCCAUAGGCCAGCAUUAUCAACAAGAUUGGUGUAGGCUUUCUUCUCGAGUUGAUUCACAUUGAGCAUAAAACACUUGUCUGCCAUUGCUAUUGUGACUAACUCUUGGCCAAAUGAAUCUUUAACAAUGCAGGAGCUAUCUUUAAAGACCAAAGAAUAUCCUUUUUCCACUAACUGACCAACACUAAGCAGAUUCUGAUCGAUGUCAAGCACAAAAAACACAUCAGAAAUGAUUUUGUUACCUGAACAAGUCUUGAUCACAACAUCUCCUCUGCCUUGAGCUUCAAUCAGAUUCCCAUUACCAAUUUUUAUUUUUGCAGCAAAGCUUCUAUCAAGGUCCUUGAAUAGCUUCUCAUCAGCUGCCAUAUGGUGUGAGCAACACUAUCCACUAGCCAAUCACAUCUGACUUUGCUUGUGCUAGCAAAGUAGGAGGCUGUGACAAACAAUUGGGAGAAUUAUAACUGAAAAAAUUCACCUUAAUUUUUCAUUCAAAAUUUGAAUAAUAUAUGAGUUACAAAGUAAUGGGCAGUUACCUUAUGACUUAACUGCUCCCACUAAUACAAGACUAAGAUUUGUUUGAAUUACACACAAAAGAUAGCUGACAUAUCAGCUAUUACAUAAACUUAAAUCAUAAACUAAUCCUACUAAAUUUGUGAACAAAUUACAAAUGAACUAGCCAAAGUUACAUAGGAACAAAAUGAUCAAAACAUAUUGUUGUAUUCGGUUCAGCUAUAUUUUUGCACUUCAAACAGUCUUGCUACUGGUGUUGUGCUGAACUACUGCUGGUCUCCUGUUGCAAUGCAGGCCAAAGCUUAACAAUCUACCUUGUUCUAAGUUAUUCGGACUCUUCAUUUUCAUUAGAAUACAUGCAUCCAACACAUAUUCAAACAUGAGUACAAAAUUGCAUGAUUCUCUAAAUAUAUGAAAAAACAUAGAAAAUGUAUUCAACAUUCAAGCACUAUUCCGAGUAACAUAGACUAUAAUAAUGAAUAGUCUUAUAUCCCUUUAUUGCAAUCUUUUAGCCAAAGAGUUAAAGCUUCGUUCUUUUCUCAAGUAGGACUUAGUCUUUAUAUAUAAUAAUGAAUAGUCAAAAUAUGCAGAAAACACUUAACAAACAUGCCAUCAAAUAAGUGAACUAAAAACAGGUUCAUCUGCAAGGUCAUCCAUAUAUAGCAGCACAUACCAGAAAUUUAGUGAGCUGUCAAGCUGAAUAUUGUCUUCACCUCCAUAGAACUAUUUGAUUGCAGCACGGCUAGUCAACAACAAGGAUAAAAUGCAACUAGUUGGGUUCUGAUGAGGACUAGUUGCAACCUGUAGGACACACUUAAAGUGCUCUUCACAAGGGUUUGUCUUAGAAGAUCCAUACCUUAUUAAAAUCAACAUGCUUGGUGAAGGUCACCCAUGUUACAUGUUUCCUGUCAUUUUCUGAUAGAUUAUAUGUCUCUAAACUAGGCACUGACAUAAAUGGUGAAGUGGUACAAUUCUCCUAUUGUAAAGAAGAAUUUUACUGUCCCAGAUUUUUCAUUCGACCAGUCCUUGGUCGGUUUCUAUUGCCAUAAGGGAUAGGCAAACUAAUUUUUCAAAGCCCCUCCCGUGGAAUUCUUGAUAAUGAGUUACAAGACAGCACCAUGUGAUCCUCCCCUAAUGAAGCCAUAUAUUUCUUAUUAGUUAUCAGACCCCAGAAAUUUCCCUUUCACCGCUCAUUGAACAUCCCCACUCAACACAGGAACAUGAUUUUUCUGUCUACCCCUUUCAUCUAUAUAUACAAAGAAGAAUAUGUUCAUUGGCAACACCUAUCUUCACAUUCUCAAAAUACUACAGUUCUCUGAGAUCUUCCUCUUCUUCCUUUUUAGAAGCAUUCAUCUAUCAAAAACAACAAUGGCUAUCCGCCUGCCUCGUAUCAUUAGCUCUAAGAAAGUUCCCAAGGGCUGCUUUGCAGUUUACGUUGGAGAAAACCAGAAGAAGUUCGUGAUACCAGUGGUCAUUCUUGAACCAGCCUUUAUUUCAAGAUUUGCUUUGCAUGUCAGAACAAGAGUUCGGAUAUAGUCAUCCUACCGGCGGUAUCACAAUUCCCUGCAACGAAGAUAUCUUUCUCGUUGUCACCUCUCGAUUGAACUGAUUUGUGAGAGAUUUAACACAAAUCAACCCAUACAUUUUUGUAAAGCAAACAUCACUAACAUCAUGUAAACACUUUCUUUUCCCAUCCUUUUUUCCCUUGGGGAGCAGAUAAUAAGUCUCCCGAUGUGGAAAACUAGAGAUGGUGGCUUAUGUAACAAUUGGAAACACAUAAUUCAAUUGAAAUUUUAUUUCUUUUUAGAAUGUCCUAUGGUCCCCUUGUUAUUGUUGAUUUUAUAUACAAUUUAACUGUAAAAAAUUCACAUUGUUCACAAAUUAUUUCAACUUCCA
rnacentral:lncRNA from 1 species